GACGGAACCGUGCGAACGUUGUUCGGAAUCACUGGGCUUAAAGGGCGCGUAGGCGGACGUCCAAGUCCGGGGUGAAAUCCCCCCGGCUCAACCGGGGGACUGCCUGGGAUACUGGACGUCUCGAGGGAGGUAGGGGCGCGCGGAACUUCCGGUGGAGCGGUGGAAUGCGUAGAUAUCGGAAGGAACGCCGGUGGCGAAAGCGGCGCGCUGGACCUCUGCUGACGCUGAGGCGCGAAAGCCAGGGGAGCGAACGGG
rnacentral:rRNA from 1 species